rnacentral:rRNA from 1 species
ACGCUGGCGGCAGGCCUAACACAUGCAAGUCGAGCGGUAGAGAGAAGCUUGCUUCUCUUGAGAGCGGCGGACGGGUGAGUAAUGCCUAGGAAUCUGCCUGGUAGUGGGGGAUAACGUUCGGAAACGGACGCUAAUACCGCAUACGUCCUACGGGAGAAAGCAGGGGACCUUCGGGCCUUGCGCUAUCAGAUGAGCCUAGGUCGGAUUAGCUAGUUGGUGAGGUAAUGGCUCACCAAGGCGACGAUCCGUAACUGGUCUGAGAGGAUGAUCAGUCACACUGGAACUGAGACACGGUCCAGACUCCUACGGGAGGCAGCAGUGGGGAAUAUUGGACAAUGGGCGAAAGCCUGAUCCAGCCAUGCCGCGUGUGUGAAGAAGGUCUUCGGAUUGUAAAGCACUUUAAGUUGGGAGGAAGGGCAUUAACCUAAUACGUUAGUGUUUUGACGUUACCGACAGAAUAAGCACCGGCUAACUCUGUGCCAGCAGCCGCGGUAAUACAGAGGGUGCAAGCGUUAAUCGGAAUUACUGGGCGUAAAGCGCGCGUAGGUGGUUUUGUUAAGUUGGAUGUGAAUCCCCGGGCUCAACCUGGGAACUGCAUUCAAACUGACUGACUAGAGUAUGGUAGAGGGUGGUGGAAUUUCCUG